rnacentral:rRNA from 1 species
UACGUAGGGGGCAAGCGUUGUUCGGAAUUACUGGGCGUAAAGCGUGCGCAGGCGUCUUUGCAAGACAGAUGUGAAAUCCCCGGGCUUAACCUGGGAACUGCAUUUGUGACUGCAUGGCUGGAGUGUGGCAGAGGGGGAUGGAAUUCCGCGUGUAGCAGUGAAAUGCGUAGAUAUGCGGAGGAACACCGAUGGCGAAGGCAAUCCCCUGGGCCUGCACUGACGCUCAUGCACGAAAGCGUGGGGAGCAAACAGG